rnacentral:rRNA from 1 species
CUAAGAAUAUUCCGCAAUGGACGAAAGUCUGACGGAGCGACGCCGCGUGGAUGACGAAGGCCGAAAGGUUGUAAAGUCCUUUUGUUGGGGAAGAAUAACCAUGGGAGGGAAUGCCCGUGGGAUGACAUGAACCGACGAAUAAGCCCCGGCUAACUACGUGCCAGCAGCCGCGGUAACACGUAGGGGGCGAGCGUUGUUCGGAAUUACUGGGCGUAAAGGGCAUGUAGGCGGCUCUGUAAGUCCGGCGUGGAAGCCCACGGCUCAACCGUGGGAUUGCGCUGGAAACUGCGGGGCUCGAAUCAUGGAGAGGGAGCUAGAAUUCCAGGUGUAGGGGUGAAAUCUGUAGAGAUCUGGAAGAAUACCAGUGGCGAAGGCGAGCUCCUGGCCAAUGAUUGACGCUGAGGUGCGAAAGUGUGGGGAUCAAACA